AUUUCCUCAUUGACUUGGUCUUGAUUAUCAAUGCUAAUAUUGUUAAUAAGUAGCUUGUGAAUUUUCUUUUUUGUUUGUCUUUGUUUUUCCAGACUAAAGAAACAGGAAGUAUUCAGAUUUAUACAUGUCGGUGUUAAAGUGAGUUGGGCGACGGUCCACUAGAGUGCUGUUUCCGAACAGGAGCGUUAUGGAACAGUUCCAGCAGCCUCUGCACUUGUGUGUGUAGCAUAUUAGCGCCGUUAGCGAACACCUGCUAGUUCCUGUGCAGUUGAGAGUUGUUGUUGUCAGUAAUGGUGUUUCUCCGCUGAGCUCCCGGUGCCGCUGCUGAGCGCGGCGCUUCAUUAAAGUGGCAGCCGGUGGAGAGCAGCCGUUAGCCGGCUGUGUGAGGGGAUUUUAUCGCGCUUCGCCCCUGCCUGCGCUCCACACAGGGACUAUAGACCGUUUGCCCAUGAGCCUCUCUGAUUUAGCCGCGUCCGCCAUCUUUGCGCAAUAACACAUGCGGAGGGAGCAGCAAGGACCUUCAGCCCAAAUGGCGCAGACUCGCGCAGGUCUCGGCUGCUGGAGCUGUUCUGCUCAGGCUGGAGGCGGAUUGUUGAGUUGAGCCGCUGCUCCAAUGCGAGAAAGAGCCCAAAUGGAAGCUCGAACCCGGAGGCGGCAGAGACAGACAGCGGCUUGCGCAUCUCAACACAUGGAGCAGAAAAGAAAGCAGCUGCAAAUCUGCCCGAGUCUGUGCGGAUCAUUCCGGAAAGGCCGAGUUUAUAUUUCUACCGUUUAUGUGAACCGGAGACAAAAUAUAUAAAGCUGUGAUCCGCAUGGAAGCGCUGCUCCGAUUUCUAUUGCAGCUCCAAGUGCGCAGGCGCAGUAAAGCGCAGGAGCUGAGCUCGGGGAAAUGGCGCUGAGAAGAGGCAGCGAUCAGCAAUGACUGAUCAGGGGAAGAAUAGGAAGGCCCGAAUUUGUCAAAAGAUUUGGGUGGAAAGCCGAAAAGUGGACUUGCAUCUUAGUGUCUACCUGGGUGUUCUCCCAAUUUUGAAAGAGUAUGUCAUGGUCUUUCAAGAAGCAAAACUCUGGUGCACAAGCUGCAUGACAAGCAGCUUGAGGUGUUUGUCAACUUUUUUGGCCUGCUUCAUAAAGCCUGAGCACCUAAAGAUGUCACCAAUCAAAUUGCUGAAAUUGGAUUUGGCCCAAAAAAAUUUUCACUCGCAGAUUUACCUUGGGAAAGUGGCAGAAGACCUGGUUGCAGCCCAGCCAAAGCAUCCAGUAGUCAUGGAUUUUAUUGAAAAUGUCACCAAGGCGUUCAUCAAUUGUGGCAAAUACAUGCAGGACAAACGACCCCUGAAAAGUAAAACCCUGCAGGCCUUGUCCUCCAUCGAUCCUGUGGUGAGGGGCUAUUCACAGAUGGUUAUCCAGCUGAAGGAGUUGGCUAUUAUCAUGAAGCACUUGGUGCCCACAGAGAGUGACUCCAGCAUGGAGAUACUAAGGCAGGGGUUCUCGAACUAUUUCCAUGCCAAGGCCCCCCAAACAGCAUUAGCUUCUGGCCAGGGACCCCCUUUGCAAACCCACAGACAAUGCUACAAAAUAUGUAAAGAAACAUCAACUUUUAGAAUGUUUUCUCUUACUUUUAUUCAAUAGUCAAUAAUUGUUACAUUUGUUUAGCAUAAGAAUAUUAUUAACUAACGUUUUCAACACAAAUAUUUUCGCACUGAACAAUAAACUGUAUAACCUCCUGUAGUACCUGAUUCAACUCGUUAUCCAUCCUUUUUGCGACCAGUGCCUCGCGAUGGAGCAUGCAGUGUGUGGCCACUACAUGCGGGGCCUUCUGCUUAAUGAGAGCGGUCACUCCACUGAUCUUCCCGGUCAUUGCCGCGGCUCCGUCUGAACACACCCCCACACAACGGGUCCAGUCCAAUACGUUAGACUGGAUGUCAUCGUCCAAAACUUGAAAAAUGUCUUUCCCAGUAGUUCUUCUUUCAAGUGCUUUACAAAAUAGUAUUUCCUCCACAAAUCUUUCCUGUGAAAUAAAUCUGAUGUACACAAGCAGUUGGGCCUCAUUGGAUAAAUCUGUGCUCUCAUCCAGCUGAAGUGUGAAGUAUUCGCUGGCUCUCACCUGCUCCAACAGCUGAGCAGAUGGUCUUGAGCCACGUCACCAAUCCGUCGGCUCACGGUGUUAUCAGAGAGUGGGACAGCAUCAAUUUUUGUGGCAGCAUCCUCACCAAGCAAUUCUCGGGCAAUGUCUUUGGUGGCUGGUAAAAUCAAAUCUCCAACUGAGUGAGGUUUUUUAGCACGAGCAAUGUGGUAUGAGGCUAAAAAUGAUGCCUUCAGGGCCCGUUCGGGGACAGUAGCUUGCUGGGUGAAUGCAGCAGAUUGCCUGACCAAAUACUCUUCUUUGCAUCUGAAGAAAUCUACUGUUUUUUUGGUAUCUGUCGGAUGUUUUUGUACCAAGUGAUGCUGAAGUUUCGAAGGUUUUAAGCACUCGUUUGACAGGGUCUCCAGACAGAGGACGCAUUUCGGGCAAUCAUGGCCAUUUUUCUGUAUGGCUGUAAAGCCAUACUUAAUGUAUUCUGCCUCAUAUUUUCAGAUUUUAGUUGGCCAGGACUUCUUAGUUUUUUUCACAGCAGUGUCCUCCACAGCAGGGCUGUCGGUUUGUUCCUUCGGUCUCUUCUUCAAAAACCUGUCCAUUUUGCGCUAGCAAUACGCUAGCUUGAGGAGCAAAGCAGCUUGAUAAAUGACGCAAACUGCAACGUCACAGGCAAUCGGAGAGAUGAGCAUGGCAAACGACGUUUCGAUAUGAUGUAUUAUUAAUAAUUAUUAUAUUUUAUAAUGAUUAAAAAACUAAUUACAAUAUAUUUAAUGAUAAUUAUUUUAAAAAAGUAUAUAUAUAUUUUUUCACAAUUUUUUAUCGUCCCUCCAACUUUCUGAGGCCCUCCUAGCGCCCCCUGGCGGCCCCCACUUUGAAAACCACUGUACUAAGGUACAAUGUGGACCCCAACCUGGCCAACUACGAAGACGGAGAUGACAUUGUGAAGUGGUGGGCCCAUGUCAUAAGUCUGGGGAAGUAUCCAGCCCUCACGCAGGUCAUCAGAGGUGCCCUCUCCAUCUUCCAUGGGCCACUAGUAGAGUCCUCCUUCAGCCUCAUGGGUGAUGUGAUUGACAAGAAAAGUGCCACCAUGAGGAUCGCUACCUUUAAUGCUGUGCAAACAGUUAAAUACACCCUAAGAUCAAGGGGGAGGACAGGAAUCACCAUGUUCAAGAGGGAAGAUGUGAAACUUGGGCCAGUGGACAAAACUGUCUGCCGCAACAUCAGGGUAGCAGGGAAAAAGGAUAAAUCCUUCAGAGAGAAUAGAAUUGAGGAAAGGAAGAAGAGGCAGGCAGAGUAUGUCUGUAGAGCUUCCUGUGGAAGUGCUGAGAGGGCCAAGACCACUGCUCAAGCAGAAGAAAGGCAGGCACAGCUGAGACAUGUGGCAAAGCAGAAAAAUGCAGCUAGAUGCAAGGCCCUGGAGACAUUAGAGAUGGCAAGGAAGAAGAAGAAACAGUAGAGAGCUGGGGAGCUGGAAGAAGUAUACUGUACCGAAGGGACUGGCACAAUAGUCUAAUAAGUUCUAUUUUGGAAUAAAAUUUGUGUUCAAUUUUCCAGCAUUGUCUCUGUGUUCUUUACUUUUAAGAAUUUCCAAGGAACUGGGACAGUGUAUUUUCAUAUAAAGAACUUUGUGUGUGUAUAGGGUGAGCCCUGGAUGGUAGAGGUUGGUGGCAAUGUAAUUAUAUGAUAUUUGCUGCAGAGGCACAGCUUCGAUAAUCUCACUCCUUUUUGACCAUACCUCUGUUUGCAUCCCUGCAGAUAACUUUCUACAGGAAUAUGUGGUAUGUAUAUGAAUUCGGUGCUUACGCUUAUCUUCCACUCUUCUCUUGUUCUCAUUCUAGAUCGCUUGUGCUGAAAUUAUUAAUCGAUUUAAAAGAAUAUGAAUUACCAUUUUAAUAAUCUCUUCUUUUUUUCUGUUUCAUAACACAAAACCAAUAGUGCUUCUGGCUGCUGGUUAAAUUAACUUAAAGGUAGAAUAAAUGGUUCUCAAGAACAAUUGUGCAGUACACUUUGUCAGAUUCAGUAAAUAUCUCCUCAUGGUCUGCCAGCUGUGUGAUCUGUGUGUGCGAUGAAAAAAGAAUCCAGUGUUCAUACACAACCAUGGUUCUGUAAAUGGGCAACAGAGUGGCUCGGACCGAGCCUCACAUUAUUUUAGCCAGUCAGCAGGUGCAUUCAAGGUUUGUUUGUUUGUUUGUUUGUUUUCCCCCCCUUAUGGAACAGAUAAUGCUUCCAUUUUUAUAAAAUGUUUGUUUAAUGUUCUGCUGUAGUUAUUUGUUCUUGUCUCUAAAUUUGCCUUCCUUCUAGCUUUCACUUUACCUAGAUCUACAGUGUCACUAUUUUAUGUUUAUCCUUUUCUUGAUAGGGCUUGGUGAUGAGCUUUGGUUUACCUACCUUUUGUCUGUUUUGUACAGAGCAUGGAUCAAAACACCAUCAAUGAGGCCAUUGAAGACACCACCGUUGGGAUCUAUGUUCUUAAAAACAUGCUUCAGGUGAUGAAGCAGAGGACAUUGGCGUUGUUCUUGAAGGCAUCAAGGUGUUACUAGAGCUUGAUAAUGUAGCAUUAGCGGUUGCUAUGCUGUUUGGACUGAUGUAUGCACUGAACCUCAGCUACCCUUUUGACCUCCGCUACACUUUUGAGGUAAUCCAAAAGAUUUGGAUGGAACUGGAUGGAGGUAAACUUUCCAACAAAGCACUUGCUCUGAAAAACAGGCUCUCGGUCAAUGGCUCAGACUGAUUUCUGUUGUGUAUCCACUUUUUAUUUCUCAGUGACGAGUUUACGUAGGGUUGAUUUUAACUUUUGGUUUGUAAAGCCACUUUGAUUUGUCAAAGUUGUCAGCUAUGUAAAAUGGUGUUCGCAGGGUUAACCCUCACUGUAAUAUAUAAUUAGUUUUUAUUAUUAAA